CCUGGAUCAAAUGCAGCCAGGAAGCGGGGAGAAACACUGGCCACUCAGAUUAGAACACGUUUCUGUUUGCAAUCAUAGCUUUUCUGUCGCUUAAAGGGUGUUUUAAGACAGUAGAAAUAAAAGGAAAAUGUAGCAGAUGGGUGAUAAUGCGCGUAACGAUACUGCAGAAGAUCCUCGUGAAACUUGUGUUAUUAUGGAUGUGCCCAUGCGGAGGAGGAGCGGAACAAGGCCACCGCAAGAGCUUCUGAGUUGCCCACGCGCUAGAGGAGACAAAACAAGAGGCCUACAAUGUUUUCGUGAUUUAUUGUCACUACAAAUUAAAUAUGAUGUUAUAGAUUAUUAAAGGUAUUACAGAUUAUGAGAUAAUGGGGAUACUGUUGUUUUUAUGAAAUAGCCUACCCUCUAAAUAAAGUCCUACCAGUUUUUUUCUACCUCACAAAUUAGGCUAUUUAUGGGAUAUUAAGGUGUUUAUUAUUACUAUUAUUCUUAUUAUUAUUCCUUCCUUAUUGUAGUUUGUGCCAUUGUGUUCUACGUUCUAAUUCCCUCGAAAUGAAGGUUGAAAGAUAAAUUUAUAUUGAAAAUCAUGUCUUUAUUUAUCCGAACUGCAGCAGGAUGGAAUGUAUGACAUUGAAACAGAAACUUGGUAAUAUCUUAAAUAUUUUUUUUUUGCAAUAAAAACAAUUCUAAUGUC